CCAGAAAACUGAGAAUCAAAGGAUGUUUGGAGGGGGGAAAAGGUGGCAUGAGCAAAAAAGAUGCAAAGGAUGCUGCCAAUCAAGUUGAUAAGGAUGCAGAAUUGGAAGCCCAGGAAGCUGCUCAGGGAAAGAGGCAACUAAUCAUGGGAAAAAGAAAGUGCAAGGGGUGUGGUGAAUUGGGUCAUGGAGAAACUAGCUACAAGUGCAAGCUUAAUGGGACAAAAAAAGGAAAAGGAAGCCCAGAAAAAAUACUACUAAAUAUGGGCCAAAUGCUAAAAUCCCAACAAAAAGGACAAAGAAGCAAUCUGAGCAAGAAGUGCAAGAUGCACAAGUUGAGCAAUCUAAGGAAGCAGUGCAAGAUGAGCAAGCUGAGCAAUCAGCUAUUGUCCCAUUUGCUCCAGAAAUGUCACUUUUAGAAACCAGCUCCACCAAUCUGACCAUGGAAACAUAUGUCCAGCCUACUGAUGAGCCAUCCAGGACCACUCGAAGAACUCCAAUAAAGAAGAAAACGACACCGAAGAAGCUGAUCCCAAGGAAGACGAAAACAAGCUGAGCAACAUGUUUGCAGAAUAAAGCUAUGUUUGUUAACCUGUAUCUUGUAUGAACCUAUGUUUGUGAAGCUGUAUCUUACUAUGAGGAACAUGUGUCAUUUGAACCUGUAUCUUUCUGUUAACUUUGGCCAUCCCAGAAUUUAUGGUCACGUGUUUGUGAAUCCUUUUAUUUUCUGCUCA